rnacentral:rRNA from 1 species
UGGGGAAUUUUGGACAAUGGGGGCAACCCUGAUCCAGCAAUGCCGCGUGAGUGAAGAAGGCCUUCGGGUUGUAAAGCUCUUUUGUCAGGGAAGAAACGGGAUGUCCUAAUACGGUGUCCUAAUGACGGUACCUGAAGAAUAAGCACCGGCUAACUACGUGCCAGCAGCCGCGGUAAUACGUAGGGUGCAAGCGUUAAUCGGAAUUACUGGGCGUAAAGCGUGCGCAGGCGGUUAUGUAAGACAGGUGUGAAAUCCCCGGGCUUAACCUGGGAAUGGCAUUUGUGACUGCAUGGCUAGAGUGUGUCAGAGGGGGGUAGAAUUCCACGUGUAGCAGUGAAAUGCGUAGAGAUGUGGAGGAAUACCGAUGGCGAAGGCAGCCCCCUGGGAUAACACUGACGCUCAUGCACGAAAGCGUGGGGAGCAAACAGGAUUAGAUACCCUGGUAGUCCACGCCCUAAACGAUGUCUACUAGUUGUCGGGUCUUAAUUGACUUGGUAACGCAGCUAACGCGUGAAGUAGACCGCCUGGGGAGUACGGUCGCAAGAUUA